AGCAAGAUAGCUCUGGAAUGGGAUGGGAUCCGAAGCCCUCCGAGGGAUAAUAUAUGCUCUCCCAUCCAACUCCUAUUCCGACACGUCCUCGUCGUGCAGAGUGGUAACAUGUGCCUCCAUAUAUCCUAGCUUGGGUACACGAGCUAGAUCCAACCCCCUGGGCGGAUGGUGGCAUAUGGCAAAGCAGGAGGGG
rnacentral:ribozyme from 1 species